GGUGGUGGGUGCGCAGAGGGAGAGAUUUGGAGAAGAGAGAGCUACUGAGUACUAAGCUAGGUUUCGAUUGGGGAUUUGGGGGUUAGGGACGCUCCAACACUGGACACACACUCGCGCAGCACUGCAACAGCACUCGAUUCAUUCGUUUGGGGCGUGGGGGUCAGGGGUUAGUAAUUUUUAGGGUUUUUUUUGCCGAACCGGUUCGGUUCGAUUCGGUUAGGAUUUUCAAAGUUAAAACCGAAAACCGAAUCGAACCGCAAAAAAUAACAAAACUUUUUUUUUUUCGAUUUUUUCGGUUAUCGAUUUGUUCGAUUUUCGGUUAUUUCAGUUCGAUUCGUCGAUUUAGUUCGGUCCGGAUCGGUUUUAAACACCCCUAUAUGGGAUGAUGUCAUCAGUGCAAAAGCUAAUAAAUUUUUUUAGAGACUUUUUUGUUUCAGAGAGAAUGUGGAUAUUGAUACAUUAGGAGAUAUCCCUCUUCCUCAUUUAAGUCAAGAUGCUUGUAGGUCUCUUACUGCGCCGGUUAUCUUGGAAGAAAAGGAUUGUUGUCAUGGGCAUGAACUCUUUCAAGGCCUCUGGUCUAAAUGGUUUUCAGGCUUUCUUCUAUAAGAAAUUUUGAGAUAUUGUUGGUGAGGAUAUACGACAGAUUGCGAGUGUGGUCUUUACUGGGGUCAUAUUCAUCCUUCUAUUCAAGAGACUCUCAUUAUGCUUAUUCCCAAGGUGAAGUCUCCCACUUUGUUUAAGGGGUUUCGUCCUAUUAGUUUUUGUAAUGUGGUUUAUAAGAUUACUAGUUUACUACAAAAGUUCUUGUUAACCGCCUACGCCCUUUCUCACUGAGAUAGUAGGACCUCUUCAAGGAGGCUUUAUUCUUAGCCGAGGGGCCACUAAUAAUAUUAUUGUUCCAUAAGAGAUUUUGCAUCAUAUGAAGAUAACUAAGUAAAAAAAAGGCAAGUUAGUCUUUAAAAUUGACUUGAAAAAGGCUUAUGAAAGGGUUGAUUGGAGGUUCCUUGAGCAUUUCUUGUGCAGUUUUGGUUUAAGCUACAUGGCCCAUCUGAUUAUGAACUGUGUUUGCUCCUCUUCCUUUUCCAUUUGUGGAAUGGAAAUAAACUGGACAGUUUCAAUCCACAUAAGGGUCUUAGACAAGGGUUUAACAUUCCUGGAUAUUCUUCAAGCUGCUGGAGGAAUAUUGCUUCAAUUUUUAUUUGAUUAAAAGACGGCUUUUCUUAGAGUAUUGGCGACUUGGAGCAAUCUUUCUGGGAUGUUUGGGAGAAUGGAGAAAUAUAUUCCUGGUCUGUGUGUCGGUCUGAGAUCUUUGCUAUCUGGAGAGGCUUGGUGCUUAUUUGGGAGUGUGACUUGAAAUCAAUAGUUUGUGAAAGUGACUCUAGAUAUGCUUUUCUGGCGAUUCAACAACCUCUAGGUGCAGCUCAUGGGGAUAGCACAGAUUUAUUGAUGAAGAUUCAUGAUUUGUUGAACAGAGCGUGGGUGGUUUAUUUUAAUUUAGUUGUAAGGGAAGCUAAUUCCAUUGCAAAUUGUUUGGCUAUACUGAGAGCUCGUGAUAAUGAUGAAUACUUAGAAUGGCUACAACCUUAGACUUGUUUCUUUGUUUUUUUUUAUUGUUUAUUUAGACAAAAAAAUGUGGUAAUAGAAUGAAAUGGAUGUAUUUUUAAAGUGUGAGUAUAUUUGUAAAUUUAGUCUAUGCUUUAUAAACAUGGUCUAUUCUAUUUUUAUUUUGUAAUAUUCCAUAAAUUAAAGUAAAA